UUGAUCAGUGAUCGAGUCAUCUAGGGGGGGUCCGGCGGGCAGCGCCCAGGGACCGCUAGCGAGUGUUCUACUACGCUGCGUCCGGGCGUGCCGCCACUGCUUUUCAGGGCCCGCGUGCCGCGGAUCCCCAUCACCGCGCGGGGCGCGAGGUUGAAAUGACGUCGAACAGGCUGCCCGCCGGAUGCGGCGGGCGAAUGUGCGUCAAAGUUCGUGAUCGUGAGUCUGAUUCCAUUACUAUCGAUUUCGUGCGUCUCUCGUGCCAGAACCAAGAGUCCUUGUGAAGUUUGACUCAUUAGGAUCCUCAAGUUCUGACGCUAUAUUUCAGGCCCCGACGGUCACGGCACCCCCGGAGGGAGGGCGGCACCCCCAGGCACUUCAGGCACGAUCGCAGGGGUUAAAAAAAAUCUCUGUUUGAAUGACCCUCCGCUGGUCCCAACGAACCUGUACACAAUACUCC
rnacentral:rRNA from 1 species